rnacentral:rRNA from 1 species
AUUGAACGCUGGCGGCAGGCCUAACACAUGCAAGUCGAACGGUAGCACAGAGAGCUUGCUCUCGGGUGACGAGUGGCGGACGGGUGAGUAAUGUCUGGGAAACUGCCCGAUGGAGGGGGAUAACUACUGGAAACGGUAGCUAAUACCGCAUAACGUCGCAAGACCAAAGUGGGGGACCUUCGGGCCUCACACCAUCGGAUGUGCCCAGAUGGGAUUAGCUAGUCGGUGGGGUAAUGGCUCACCUAGGCGACGAGCCCUGGCUGGUCUGGAAGGAUGACCAGCCACACUGGAACUGAGACACGGUCCAGACUCCUACGGGAGGCAGCAGUGGGGGAUAUUGCACAAUGGGCGCAAGCCAGAUGCAGCCAGGCCGCGUGUAUGAAGAAGGCCUUCGGGUUGUAAAGUACUUUCAGCGGGGAGGAAGGCGGUGAAGUUAAUAGCUUCACCGAUUGACGUUACCCGCAGAAGAAGCACCGGCUAACUCCGUGCCAGCCGCCGCCGUAAGAC